rnacentral:tRNA from 1 species
AAGAAUUUAGUUUAUUAAAAAAUUUUAAAUUGUAAAUUUAAAGAAUAUUAUUCUUG